CUUUUCGAUGCUGAUGUGAAGGGUCGUCGUGCCUGAUCAAUCCAGCUUUUCUUUAAAAUAACCGGUGACUGACAUUACCUCACAUCGGAAAAGAACAGCUCUUAAGGGAUUGCCAAUUUUUCUGCGUGAGAAGCCAGCAUGUUUACUCAAGAUGUGCCUGGAUACUGAUCCUGUGGACCACUGCACCAAAGGUGUAAAGAUUGGAAUUCUUACUGUGGUCGAAGAUGAUGUUGCUGCCGUCACAUCACUGCCAAAUGUGAUCAACCUGGCCAUAAUCCUGGAAGAGGCCAUUGUGCUUGAGGACAUUCCAGAUCUGCCAGCAGCAUUCGCAUACUUGUUUGGUCUCAUGUAUGCACUCAACAUGGAGUAUCCAAAAGAACUUAAGUAUACUUUUGAAGUAAUACAAAAAAUCUUCAUGGAUCUUGGUGGCAUCUGCUCUGCAAGAGUGCAGUCAUUGAAGUCUAAACUUUGCUAAAUGGACAAAUGCAUCUGAAUGACGUUCUUCCA